AUGCUCCGGGAGAUCCUCAUGCGCCUGCCGCCUCAGCCGUCCUCUCUCCCGCGCGCCUCCGCCGUCUGCAAGCGCUGGCUGCGCGUCGCCACCGACCCCCGGUUCCUCAGCAGCUUCUCUGCCCACCAUCGCAAGCCACCCCUCCUCGGCGUCUUUGAGAGAGACAUGUACAACAUCGUGUUCACUCCCGUCCUGGACCCUCCCAACCGCAUCCCUCCUGAAAAGUUCCACACUCGGCGUCAGAUCCAUGGCUUCCAAAAGGCCGAACUGCUCGGAUGCCGCCACGGCCGCGUCCUCCUCCUGGAGACGGACUGGUUCAUUGUGUGGGACCCCAUCACCAGUGAGCAUCACCGUGUCGACAUUCCACCAGGGUUCGAUGAGUUAUGCUACUUCUAUGGGGCUGUGCUCUGCGCUACCGCCCAUCAGGUGCACGGUAGCUGCCACUCCAGCACCUUUAAUUUGGUCUUGAUGUCCCCAUGCCAAGGCCAUCAAGCCGGUACUCCACCCAUCGCUUGUGUAUACUCCUCGGAGACUGGGCAAUGGGACAAUCUCAUCUCAACAGCCGAUCGAUGUGAGUUUGUUAACUGUAAUCCUGGGAUCCUUGUUGGUAAUGUCCUUUACUGGUCGUCUAAGAGGGUGAGGGCCCAAUCAAAUUAUUUGAAUUUGGAUGAGCUGGCAGAUGACAUAAUUGAGUUUGAUUUGGAUAGGCAUAGUCUUGCUGUGAUCAAGGGCCCUCCAGGUCUGAAUUAUUCCACCACGCAUCAGAUAAUCAAGGCAGAGGAUGGUGCUCUUGGUCUUGCCAUAUUGUCUCAUGGUACAUUCGAAAUGUGGCAGAGAAAGGUUGGCUAUCACGGUGGUGCCACAUGGUUCCUGCACAAGACCUUUGAAAUGCAUACUGUUCUUGGGCUCCCUCCCCAGGUUGAAGGAUCGGUGAGAGGGGUCGAAAUACUUGGGUAUGAUGAGGAAAAUGGUGUAAUGUUUUUAUUUCUGGACGACAAUGUCUACAUGGUUGAAGUGAUGUCAAUGAAAUCCUUGAAAAUUUAUCAAAGCAGUUAUCAAAGUUAUGCCAAUGACAUUCAUCCUUUCGCAAGUUUCUAUGCACCAGGUGACUGCUCAUCCUUAGUCCUUGUGUUGUGGUAG
rnacentral:rRNA from 1 species